rnacentral:rRNA from 1 species
CCUACGGGUGGCAGCAGUAAGGGAUAUUGGUCAAUGGGGGAAACCCUGAACCAGCAACGCCGCGUGAGGGAAGACGGUUUUCGGAUUGUAAACCUCUGUCCUCUGUGAAGAUGAUGACGGUAGCAGAGGAGGAAGCUGCGGCUAACUACGUGCCAGCAGCCGCGGUAAUACGUAGGGAGCGAGCGUUGUCCGGAUUUACUGGGUGUAAAGGGUGCGUAGGCGGCGUGGCAAGUCAGUAGUGAAAUGCAUGGGCUUAACCCAUGCACUGCUAAUGAAACUGUGGAGCUUGAGUGAAGUAGAGGGAGGCGGAAUUCCCGGUGUAGCGGUGAAAUGCGUAGAGAUCGAGAGGAACACCAGUGGCGAAGGCGGGCUACUGGACUUUAACUGACGCUGAGGCACGAAAGCGAGGGUAGCAAAAGGGAUUAGAUACCCGUGUAGUC